rnacentral:rRNA from 1 species
UAAGGUAGCGAAAUUCCUUGUCGGGUAAGUUCCGACCUGCACGAAUGGCGUAACGACUUCCCCGCUGUCUCAAAUGUGGACUCAGCGAAAUUGAAUUGUCUGUGAAGAUGCAGACUUCCCGCGGUUAGACGGAAAGACCCCAUGCACCUUUACUACAACUUCGCACUGGCAUCAGGAUUGCGAUGUGCAGGAUAGGCGGUAGGCUUUGAAGCGGGGACGCCAGUUCCCGUGGAGCCAUCCUUGAGAUACCGCCCUUCGCACUCUUGAUGUCUAACCGCGGCCCGUUAUCCGGGUCCGGGACCCUGCGUGGUGGGUAGUUUGACUGGGGCGGUCGCCUCCCAAACAGUAACGGAGGCGCGCGAAGGUUGGCUCAGAGCGGUCGGAAAUCGCUCGUUGAGUGCAAUGGCAGAAGCCAGCCUGACUGCAAGACUGACAAGUCGAGCAGAGUCGAAAGACGGCCAUAGUGAUCCGGUGGUCCCGAGUGGAAGGGCCAUCGCUCAACGGAUAAAAGGUACGCUGGGGAUAACAGGCUGAUGAUGCCCAAGAGUCCAUAUCGACGGCAGUGUUUGGCACCUCGAUGUCGGCUCAUCUCAUCCUGGGGCUGGAGCAGGUCCCAAGGGUAUGGCUGUUCGCCAUUUAAAGAGGUACGCGAGCUGGGUUUAGAACGUCGUGAGACAGUUCGGUCCCUAUCUACCGUGGGCGUUGGAAAUUUGAGAGGAUCUGCUCCUAGUACGAGAGGACCAGAGUGGACGAACCUCUGGUGUACCGGUUGUGACGCCAGUCGCAUCGCCGGGUAGCUAUGUUCGGAAUAGAUAACCGCUGAAAGCAUCUAAGCGGGAAGCCCACCUCAAGAUGAGAUAUCACGGAUCUUAAGAUCCCUAAAGAGCCCUUGUAGACAACAAGGUUGAUAGGCGCGAUGUGGAAG